UAACACAUGCAAGUCGAGCGAUUCUCUUCGGAGAGGAGCGGCGGACGGGUGAGUAACGCGUGGGUAACCUGCCCUGUACACACGGAUAACAUACCGAAAGGUAUGCUAAUACGGGAUAAUAUAUUUUGAUGGCAUCAUCGAGAUAUCAAAGCCCCGGCGGUACAGGAUGGACCCGCGUCUGAUUAGCUAGUUGGUGAGGUAAUGGCUCACCAAGGCGACGAUCAGUAGCCAACCUGAGAGGGUGAUCGGCCACAUUGGAACUGAGACACGGUCCAAACUCCUACGGGAGGCAGCAGUGGGGAAUAUUGCACAAUGGGCGAAAGCCUGAUGCAGCAACGCCGCGUGAGCGAUGAAGGCCUUCGGGUCGUAAAGCUCUGUCCUCAAGGAAGAUAAUGACGGUACUUGAGGAUGAAGCCCCGGCUAACUACGUGCCAGCAGCCGCGGUAAUACGUAGGGGGCUAGCGUUAUCCGGAAUUACUGGGCGUAAAGGGUGCGUAGGUGGUUUUUUAAGUCAGAAGUGAAAGGCUACGGCUCAACCGUAGUAAGCUUUUGAAACUGAGAAACUUGAGUGCAGGAGAGGAGAGUAGAAUUCCUAGUGUAGCGGUGAAAUGCGUAGAUAUUAGGAGGAAUACCAGUUGCGAAGGCGGCUCUCUGGACUGUAACUGACACUGAGGCACGAAAGCGUGGGGAGCAAACAGGAUUAGAUACCCUGGUAGUCCACGCCGUAAACGAUGAGUACUAGGUGUCGGGGGUUACCCCCCUCGGUGCCGCAGCUAACGCAUUAAGUACUCCGCCUGGGAAGUACGCUCGCAAGAGUGAAACUCAAAGGA
rnacentral:rRNA from 1 species